GGGAACUACUGCUCUUUGCUUUCCCUUUUCCCCUCAGCAGAGAGGUGGAGGGCGCUCUGCUGUGCCUCCAAUGCUUGCCGCUCCUUGCAUCGCAUAGAUGAACGCUGGAGCAAAGAACAAGCAAGACAAGAAGCAGCAGGAAGACGAUAGAUAAAGAAGGAAUGAUGAAAGGCAGGGGAUAGAGUAUGUGGCUUUGAUGAGGGAAAGAAGGGGGUUUAAAUAACGAUGUCCAUGGCCAUCGUCUCUGCUUCAGCAAGGUCGAGUGAAAGAAGGAAAAUGGCUUCGGGACCAGGCCCCCCCAACUCACGUGCAUUUGUGGGGAGCACUGGCUUGUAACGUCACAGAGAAUUUAAGGUGUCGUCUUUGUUUCUUUGUUACUUUUGUGCAUGAACAUAUCACAGUUUUAUCCUCUGCCAUUUCCUUUAUCGUCUUCUUUCCGUGAGAAUCGGUUGGAGGAAUCAUCUUCAAGACAUCGGGUCUCGCCACUUGCCAGAGCCCAGAAAAACUAGACAAGGCGGCUUACCUGUGCUCGUACUACUAAACUGCUGAUGGUUCACGGGGGAAGGAAGUGGCAUGUCUGUACUGACCGGUUCGAAUUAUUUGCUAUUAGUCUGAGGCGUGACACUAUCUGUCAGGUGAUUAAACUGGCAACCUGGUUCGUCUUGUACCGGCGUCCGCAGGCCACUGCUGGAGCAUAACUGCAUGUGGUGUUUGUAUUAGCUGUAGACAUCUUACAGGUGAGCGGGUUGUUGUAUGAUUGCAAAGACCAAGCUCAGAUAGUGAUUGCCCGGGGUCCCAAGUUGGGGGGUGUUGAAGCGUGCUGACAAGGUCAAUCAAGAGUGGAGACAAGUGGCCGUCGGAUUUGGCAACUUUAACCAUACUCUGGUGAUGUGUGGCACGAUUUGAGUGACAACAUUGCCCGUUGUUUCUUUCCAACAGACUAAGCAGUCACUUGGGAUGGCUCGUCCGCAGUUUUACACCUCGGAGAAGGUGGAAUGUCCGGAAUGCCCGGAGCUGCCAUUGUGGCAACCGGCAACCGUGUGGGUUGGAACCAAGUCUAGAUUGCAAGGUAAACGUAACGUGGU